rnacentral:rRNA from 1 species
CCUACGGGAGGCAGCAGUGGGGAAUAUUGCGCAAUGGGCGAAAGCCUGACGCAGCGACGCCGCGUGAGGGAUGAAGGUCUUCGGAUCGUAAACCUCUGUCAGCAGGGAAGAACGGUCACUGUGCUAAUCAGCAGUGAAUUGACGGUACCUGCAAAGGAAGCACCGGCUAACUCCGUGCCAGCAGCCGCGGUAAUACGGAGGGUGCGAGCGUUAAUCGGAAUUACUGGGCGUAAAGCGCUCGUAGGCGGUAUGUCAAGUCAAGGGUGAAAUCCCCGCGCUCAACGUGGGAACUGCCUUUGAAACUGGCAAACUGGGGCGUGUGAGAGGAUAGUGGAAUUCCAGGGGUAGGAGUGAAAUCCGUAGAUAUCUGGAGGAACAUCAGUGGCGAAGGCGACUAUCUGGCACAUAACUGACGCUGAGGAGCGAAAGCGUGGGUAGCAAACAGGAUUAGAUACCCUAGUAGUC